CUCACCAUCGUCAUCACCCUCAAAUCAGAGAAAAGCGUUUGCCAUCACCACUCACCACUCACGGCGUCACCACUCACCACUCCAGGAAGACUCUGCGCUCACUCAUCUUCCCCACUCAUCUUCAUGGUCGCUCCUCUUCGCUGCGUGGUCACAUCACGAAGACUCUGUGCUCAACUGAAAGCUUUCUUCAUUCGCGAGCGCAGGAGAACUCGUGAAUUUAGGGUUUUUAUUCCGUUAACGCAGGUGAGCUUGGCCAUGAUUAGUUACGGCGCAGGAAUACCAAGAUUAGUUGCUUAUUAUGUUUGUUUCU